rnacentral:rRNA from 1 species
CGGACGGGUGAGUAAUGUCUGGGAAACUGCCCGAUGGAGGGGGAUAACUACUGGAAACGGUAGCUAAUACCGCAUAACGUCGCAAGACCAAAGAGGGGGACCUUCGGGCCUCUUGCCAUCGGAUGUGCCCAGAUGAGAUUAGCUAGUAGGUGGGGUAAAGGCUCACCUAGGCGACGAUCCCUAGCUGGUCUGAGAGGAUGACCAGCCACACUGGAACUGAGACACGGUCCAG